CCUACGGGAGGCAGCAGUGGGGAAUAUUGGCCAAUGGGGGCAACCCUGAUCCAGCCAUGCCGCGUGUGUGAAGAAGGCCCUCGGGUUGUAAAGCACUUUCAGGGAGGAAGAACGCCUGGUGGUUAAUACCCAUCAGGAAAGACAUCACUCACAGAAGAAGCACCGGCUAACUCCGUGCCAGCAGCCGCGGUAAUACGGAGGGUGCGAGCGUUAAUCGGAAUUACUGGGCGUAAAGCGCGCGUAGGUGGCUUGAUAAGCCGGUUGUGAAAGCCCCGGGCUCAACCUGGGAACGGCAUCCGGAACUGUCAAGCUAGAGUGCAGGAGAGGAAGGUAGAAUUCCCGGUGUAGCGGUGAAAUCCGUCGAGCUCGGGAGGAAUACCAGUGGCGAAGGCGGCCUUCUGGACUGACACUGACACUCAGGUGCGAAAGCGUGGGUAGCGAACAGGAUUAGAUACCCUGGUAGUA
rnacentral:rRNA from 1 species